AACAAGCAAGACUCUUACUGUCCUAGCUUAAGGCAGUUCCUUCUCUUGAACCUGGAGCCUUCAAACCAACUGUGCUUUACCCCUUGUGCUCACUGGAUAUUGUAAUCCCUAGGUAUUGAAAAAACCUCAAACCACUCUUCUUUUGAAGGCACUUGUGCCAAGGUUCACUGGUGGAUGAGUGGUUUGGUGUCCCCUGGCACCCUGCUCUGUCCACACUCACAUGAUCCUGGAUGAGCGAUGAGUCAUUCCCUCCUUUGAAAUAGGAUGAAUUCCAAUUCUUUGCCCAGCAUCCUUGUGUAGAUGCUUACUGCUUUCCUUCUGGGUUUAGUUUUAUCAAAUUAACUGUGCGGUUUGCUCAUCUGCAGAGCUCGGGGCCUAUGGGGAGCUUGGUGGUGUUUCCCCCUGGCCAUCUCCCUUAUGGCGAUCUUGUGGCUAGGUUUAACAACUCUGGGGUGUGAAUUCCCUGUCUGGGUUCACCUUGAGGUUUGUUGCCUUUGCUUCAGGCCAAAGGAAGGAGGGAGGAAUGUUGUGUGCCUGAAGGGUCUCGCUUUGUCCGGGGUGCUGCCUCCCUCCUGGAUGGUUACAGGGACAGCAGCACCCACCCGACUCACACAGCUUGGGCAGGGCUUGCAGCAGCCUGGUCUAGCGGAAGGUGUCUCUACCCCUGGUGGGAACGGGAUGAUGUUUCAGGCGCCUCCCAUCCAAAAGCAUUCCGUGAUUCCCUCUGUAGGCAGCCGCUGGGGGGCUCCCAGAGCCAGGACAAGACGUUGCUGAGUGUCUGCUGCCACUUUCCGUGUGCCCAGAGCCAGCGCCCACCCGCAGGAGCGAUGCCAGGGCUCCCCUUGGCGCUUCAUCCCUGCUCCUGCACCUCUGUUCCCUUCUGAACUUGAGGAAAAUCUCCUACGAGGGGGACCUGGAGAUGUGGUAGUGUGCUGUGUGUUCACCACUUCCUGAUCCCUUUUUUCCUUCUGUGUAUAGUGUUUGUCAAGAGAGAGAUUUCUGGUUUCCCCAGGCUUUUUGGAGGAGGCUCUGAGAGUACCCAGAUCUUAUUUAGGGUUUGUUUGGACUUGCUGCCACUCAGCCAAGGGUGUUAAUUUUUCAAAUGCCCACUUAGAUCCCUGCCCUGUCCCUUCUGCAGGUCAUCCUUGAGCAGAAGCAUCAGGACCAGUGUUCUGAUUACUUUGCAAACUCUCCUUAGUAGCUGUUAAACAUAAUUCAUGCCACCAGCCGCUGAGGAACCAGAGGGUAAGGGUAAGAGACCUGUAAUCUCUAUCACAUCUGUGCUAUGCUCCUUUUCUGUGUGCCUCCCCCUUCUUCCCCUGUGUGCGGUUUGAUUUUAUCUAUUUGUGAUGUAAAGUUUUUGGUGGUGUGACUCUUUUUAAGCCUUUCACCACUCAUGGCACAGUGGGACUCAGUGGAUUGAAGUAAAAGAUUAAAGUGAAAUCCAUGUUAAAAACAUCUUGUUACAGUGAAGCAUAAAUGAUUCAUGUAAAGAACAGCUGCAGUUAACACCAGGAUGAUCCUCUUCCUCUUUAAUGUUUUACUGCAACAUCUCCAAAAAAAAUAUCUGGAAAAUCAGAGCAGAGCUACAGAUCCUUUGAGUUUUAUCUGUGGACAGAUUUUCUUCUUGGAAGAAGAAAAUUUUCAUUCCAUGGCUGUUGGAAUGAAGGAUUUUAGUGUUUAAAAUACAGAGUUGGUAACAUAUAGCUGAAAAGAUUUACUAUUAUUUGAAUCAGCCAAAAAUUUUUGUAAACAAAAUCAUCCAUGACUAUGGAUGAUCCGCAGACUCUGCGACCUUUUUUCCCCUGGUCUGUGCUUAAAUAGUAUGUAAGAUUUCAGUAUGGAGGCCUGCUUCUGGUCCAAUACCAAAACCAGGAUGCUGUCCAUAUUUAUCAAAUACUGGUUUUAGUACUAGUAAAUUUAAAGGCUGCAAAUAAUGACAUUUCUCCUGUCUCCUUAAAGAAAUUCCUGCAGUUUUUUGUGAUGAACUGGGUGGUUUCAGAGGGCUUUUCAACCUAAAUGGUUCCAUGGCUCUGUGGUUGGGUGGUGAUGAUCUGCACCCAAAUUGCAAUGUGUGGCUGGAGAUGAGCACAGCAGAGCUCAUCCCUCCUGGUCCCAGGAGGUCCAAAGCAAAGAGUUAUUUGUAUAGCUGCACCUGUGCAGCUAUAAAAAUUCACCCCCUUAGUCAGGGGCCAGAGUAAAGAUGGUUCUUCCCCCUCCCUCCCUUUAGGUCUUAGUUUCAGUCCCAAGGUUUUCUACUUUAAUUAUUUCACCAUUAUGUGGGUUCCUAGUGCUCUGAGAGUGCCAACCUGCACACAUUCAAAGCAAAAGCCUGGUGUUUUGUCACAUCUGACUCUCUUCCCUGAAGGGAUUGGCUCUGUGAAGCACUGGGAAGGGAAGCUGGGAGGACAGGGGGGUUUUCCCUCUGUCUGGUCCCUGUCAGCAGCAGAAAGUGGAGCCAUGCUCCUCUUUUUGUGAAGCUUCUGUGGGCUGCCCAUCUUCCCUCUGCAUCCACUUCAUCCUCACCAAGUAAGAGGCUGAAAAAAAAAAAAUUAUGGGUGAACCUACAGAGCAGGGAAAGUAGAAGGGUGUAAAAUGCAGGCACCAUUAUAGUUGGUGACACUGAUCCUGUUUCCUGGCUUUGAGUGUUGCUGCAGAACACUGUCACCACUGCCUCAAGCUCCUGCUGAUCUGGUUUGAAAGUUACAAAAUUCUAUAGGUUCAGUCUCCUGCCUGUGGUGUUUGUUCAGGCCUUCACCAAUGCUCCUGACCUGGGAGGUGCUCCUGCCUGCCGUCCCAUUGCUCCAAGUGUGGGCCUGUUCCAUCACCAAAGCUGUGUUGGCAGGCUGAUGGAGCUGGAACAUGGGUGCUGGUGAACCCUUAUUGCCUCUCGUGAGCAUCAGCCAAAGCAAAUUAAGUGUAUAAUUGAGUAAUUUGCACCUAUCAGGCAAUUACUGCAUGAAAAACAGCAGUGCAUGCCAGUGGAAAAAGGCAAAGGAAGUGUCUCUUUCUAAGCUGUUUAUUGAUGUAGCUUGAUGUAGUGAUGUCCAUUGAGCUGGGUGAACUGCUCUGAUCUCCCAAACCUUUGCAUUUCUGCCCCUGCUGCUGCCUGUUCACAUCUUGUGCCCUGCUCUGACUGUGGGACACCUGCAGACAGGCAGUGCUGUGCUGCUCUCUGCUCUGCCCAUACCAAGGCAGGUCAAAGCCAAUGAGGGGAUGAUCCUGGGGCCUUGGUAGUGCUGGUCCUCACUCCUGCAAACUGGUCCUGGUCCCAAGCCCAGCCAACUGUGUAGAUUCCCCUGCUCUAACCAUGGCUUAGUGCUGAUGUGGCCACUCAUUACAGGAACCCCAAGAGACCUCUGACAUCUGUAUCAACUGGCUAAAUGACAGCUGUGGAAUGUUUUAGGACUUCCAGCCUCCUCAGACCCAUGUCAGCUCACCAGCCACUGAGUGUCCUAUCCUGGCCUGGGCAUUCUGUCACCCAAACAAGGACAGAGGGUCUGGUUUGGUCUCUGUGUGAUACUGGGAUUAGCCUGAGCCAGGAGCUGAGCCAGCUGGCAGGGCAGAGACGCCGAACAUCCCAUUAGACUAAUCCAAAUGAUGUGUCUGAUCAAAGGCACUUGAAAUGCCACCAGAACAGAGGUCCCUGCCUACCCUUCCUACUGAAAGUCAGCCUUUGGAGAUUUAUGUGCUCUGUCUCUCCCUGCUGAAUGGGCACAGCUGGAGAUUUAAGGAUUUAUGAUCCUCUAGUUGUAGAUUUCAUAGCCCUUCUCUGGGAUGGGAGCUGCUCUUCUUUGGGAAGAGUGUGGACCGUUUUUUCCCACCAGGCCACACAAUAUCUGAAGCACAUCCUGAACUUUCCUUUGACAGAACAUUCUUGGCCAGUGAAAAGGGGUGGGUCUGAUCCGUGAUCUGAACUUUGCUGCCUCACUUCACAGGUUCCAAACAGAUUCAGAAGCACUCAGAAUGAGAUGUAGUAAUGAAUGUGGCACCUCUCUAGAAUAUGCCUCUGGAGAAUAACUCUACACCUCUUGUCACUCGCUCACCCACAUCCUGCCUUGCUUGAGAUCCUGUGCCCUUUAAAGUGGCAUUUAUUGUGGCAUCUUCUCUGAGAAAUGUUCCAUCCUGUUGUCCUUUGUCCUUCCUAAGCUCUGCUAGCCUGUAGUGUUUUCACUGAUUUAAAUGCAAAGUUUAACCAGAAUGCUGUAAUGGCUUUUGGUUGAUUGGGUUUUUUUUUUUUUUGGUUUGUUUUUUUUUUUUUUUAAUUUAUUUUAUUUUUUUUGGCUGGAAUCUUGGUGGUUAAACCUGGACUGUCUAGCCAUUUCCUCUUGCUGGUGAACUUCAGCUGAAUUUCUCCACUUGGCAUUACCUGUUGCUGUGUGACUCCAGAAGUGCUUUGACUGCUCCUCAGCUUCUGUAAGGAUCAUCCACAGGUCUUUAGUGUUGAUCCUGCGCCUGGAUGGAGUAAGUUGCUGGAGCUGUGGAGCCUUUUAUCAGGUUACAUGUUUUUUAUCAUUCUCCAUCCCACAGAAAUAGAAUUCUGUGUCUUUAGGGUUUUUUUAAUCAGGAGAGAAAUGGAUAGUAUGUACUUCCUAAGAAGCUCCUGAGGGCAGCUGGGGUGGGGUGAACUCCGGUGAGGAUCCUGCUCAUGGGUGACUGCAGAUGGACAGUGAAGGUGCAAGGAGAUACUGAAUAACCUCUGGUAGAAACUGGAGGUGUUGCAGCUAAAGAAUGUCAAGGAUUAGUGGAUUUGAAAUGUUCAGUGGGGUGGAGAAGUCAGAAUUCUUUCACAGAGAUAUUGCAUGAAGGAAAACAGCACAAAAAAUGGCUAAUGACCUCAUGUUGCAAGGCCUUUUAAGUCUAAUAAAAAACUAAACUUCCCAAUUAAGAAGUGAUAUCUAGAUUAUUUCCCUUUCUAACCCAAUAACUGACCCCUAGAGACCCGCAAUGUGGAUUUUCCUACCCAAUUACAAGAUAGCACCCAAACCCAAGAAGAAGAAGGAAAAAGAAGAAAGAAGAAAGGAACUUGAGACACCACCCUGUACCCUCCAUCUUGUACCCAUCUACAGUAUGCUAAAAAUCCUAAAAUCUAAAUUUCUGACCCAUGUGACAUACUAAACUACUCUCUACAAUCUAUUUCACAGUUUUAUGGUUUCUAGUUUACUUUGAAGCUUUGGAGGCUUUCUCCAUGAAUGAGGGUCAAAGUCAGUGCUUUCCUGAGAGUCAGAGUACCCCAGGUCAGACAGGGACAUAUUCCCCUUGCCCUGGGUUCCCACAGAAAAAUUUCUUCACUCAAAGGUUUGUCCAGCCCUGGCUGGUCCUGCCCAGAGCAGUGGUGGGAGACUCCAUUUUUGGAGGGAUUUAAAAGCUAUGUGGAUGUGGAACCUAGGGACAGGGGCCAGUGGUGGCCUUGGCAGUGCUGGGGGGAACUUGAUAUUUUCCAACUUUGACAUUCUGUGAUUCUAUUCUAUGAUUCUGCUAUGCACUGAAGGGUAACAGCAAGUCAGGGGGCCUCAGCCUCAAGGUAAGUAAUUCAUCCUUCACAGCCCCUUUGCAAGUAAAGCACCUUUGGGGAGCUAAAAUGAUCCUUCUGACCCACAUCCCUGAAAUAUUAAGGCCUCCAACUCCUGUUUAAACAAUUUCUGUUUCAACAUAUAUAAGCCAAUUGCCAUUGUCUAUCUGUGCCUCUGAGAAGAUGGAGAGUGAGGGCCCUAAUUCAUUGAGGUGUAUUUGCUUUGAGAGUUGUACAGUUUCCUCACUCAUUCCAGAUCCAGAAAAAGCUCAGCUACUGGUAACAAAAUGGGCCUUUCUACCUGAAGGCAGUUUUCCAUGGCAAGACAAAGGGAAACUUCAGAAAGGUGCUAAUUUGUGCCUAACAAUUCACCUGUCAUACAGUGAAUGAGGGAGAGGGAAACAAUCAAGAAAUAAUCAAGAAUAAUCUUUUCAAUGCACAGUCCUGCUUCCUCGUGGGUAGCAUCUUUCUUAGCAGGUGAAUUAUGCCCAGCUAUGGCCAAAUUCUGUGUCAAUUCAUUCUCACUUUGUGUCAAGAGUCAAAAGAUUAGAUAAUUAUCAACACCAGCAUUCUUUAUACUGUUUAUAUUUCAUGUGCAGCUCAGAAAGCCAAACAGAACCUGCUGCAGUCCUGGAGGAUCAGAUAAAGGAUGUUGCAUUGUUGCAUUUCCCCAGAUUUGAGCACUUGACAUGAAACUGGGAGUCUUGGGGAGAAUUGUGCACAUGAGACAUCAUCAAUGAAAGCAGCUUAGGAAGUGUGUCAGGCAGUUCAUUUGAGUUAGACUUUUGGAUAAAAUGUGACUCCCAGCAGAUGUUUCCCAGUAGUUAGGGUUUUUUUAAAAUAAAACUUUACUUUUUUAUUUAUGUUUUGUUUCUUUCUUUGUUUUUAUUAACUCCCCCCCAGUGAAUUACUUUUAAUAGUAUUUAUUUAUUUUAUUUAUAUAUGUAUUUCUUUUCAGAACUGUACACAAUGACACUCUUUGCUGGCACUGGGAGGGAGAUAGUCCAGGCAAAUACCCCAACAUUUCUGCCCACUGUGUUUCUUAUGAGUCUGGUAUCACCUGGGUAUCUGAGACAACACUGAAAAAAGAAUGCUUGAAAAAGAAGGGUGAUCUGAAUAGUAUUUAUCUGAUGUAAAGGAAAAAAAAAAAAAAGAAAAAAAAAAGAAAAAAAAAAAAGAAAAAAAAAAAAAAAAAAAGAAAACCUGCCAAAAAACCCAGUUUCAGUAAUAAGAUAAAUUAGUUGUUAGCAAAGACAGUGUUUUGAACAAUAAUGGGGAAAAGCAUAAUAUGCAUGUUCUGACUGACUUACAUGUCAAAUUUCCAAAUAACUGUUAUUUGCUAUUUGGUGAUGGGAAGAAUAAAUUCUCUGGAUAAUGUAAAAUGUAGAAUUAAUUCUGAAUGAUGUGUAAAAUCUUUCUAAAUGACUGGGACAUAGCCUUCAUCUUUUGUUGUUUUUCAGUUCUGUGUGUAUGAUUUCUUUAUGGUACUGCCAAAAUGUCCCUGUUGCUCAGCAACAGCAGGCUGAAAUAGCACCAGGCAGAGGAAAUCUGCUGAUUUACACUGGACAUAAAUUGUGUUCUCUUGCUCGAGUGCAUAUUUUGACAUAAGGGUAAAAGCAACUUCUGUUGGUUUGCCUCUCUGGGGCAGUUGUGGUCCCGGGUGGGGAAUUCCCAGUUCAGACAUUAAAAUGCCCUUUUACACUACAGUUUAGUAAAUCACAGAACCAGAGAAUGGUUUGAGUUGUGUUUGGCACCUGAAUGUCAUCAGUCCAACUCCCUGCAAUGGGCAGGGAUAUCUUCUACUGCACCAAGUGGCUCAGAGACCUGUCCAACUGGACCUUGACUUUUUCCAGGGAUGGAGCAUCUACUAAAUCUCUGGGCAGUGAGCCAGUGUCUCACCACCCUACCCAUUAAAAAUUUCUUUUAAUUUGGUCAGAAUUGAUCCACCUUUAGUUUAAAACCAUGAACCCAUUUCUCAUCGCAACGGGCCCUGAUUUAAAGUUUGUCCACAUUUUUCUUAAAGAAAUCUACAAGUACUGAGAAACCACAAAAAGAUCUCCCUAGAGCCUUCUCUUCUCCAGUGAGCACCUCCAGCUCUCCCAUCCUGGCUCCAGAGCAGAGGAACUCCAAAUCCCAGGGCAUCUCCAUGGCCCUCUGUGCCUGCUCCCGGAAUACUCUAGACAAAACAUGGCCUCAUCUAACCCCAAUCUGGGGGUCUGUCCAGCAUCUCCUCUAGGAAUGAAUCACUGCCUUGUCUUGAGGAGGCUUCUGUAGCUCUGACUGCAGCUCUGUUGACCCAGUGCUGUCCCUUGGGCUGAUUGUGCCUCCUGUAUAGAACCAGGCUUUGCAUUUGCAGGUUUAUGAAGGUUUGAUGCCAAAGGACUGAGAGACCUGGAGCUGUUCAUCCUGGAGAAGGCUCUGAGGAGGACUUAGAGCUCCUUUGAGUGCCUGAAAUGGCUCCAGGAGAGCUGGAGGAGGAUUUUGGCUAAGUCUUGGGUGGCAGGGGGAAUGAGUGGAAUUCCCAGAUUCCCUCUGGGAAUCUGUCCCAGAGGGCAGGGACAGAUGGGCUAUUGGGAAGGAAUUGCUGGCUGGGAGGGUGGGCAGGCCCUGGCACAGGGUGCCCAGAGCAGCUGUGGCUGCCCCUGGAUCCCUGGGAAUGCCCAAGGCCAGGCUGGAUGGGGCUUGAGAGCCUGGGACAGUGGAAGGUGUCCUGCCCAUGGCAGGGGGGAAUAGAACAAGGGCCCUUUAACCCAAACAAUUUUGUGAUUCUAUUAUUCUGUGAUAAGCACAAAGAACAGAUUUUAAAAGUUUCCUAUGUAUUCUACAUACACUAAUUUAGAAAUUUUAUUUUCUAGUGUCUUCUACACUACUUGUUUAAGAGGUAACCUACCUUUGGAAGAACUUAAUGAUAAUAAAGAGAGAGAAACUUAAAGCAAA